rnacentral:rRNA from 1 species
CCUACGGGAGGCAGCAGUGGGGAAUAUUGGACAAUGGGGGGAACCCUGAUCCAGCGACGCCGCGUGAGUGAAGAAGUAUUUCGGUAUGUAAAGCUCUAUCAGCAGGGAAGAAAGAAAUGACGGUACCUGACUACGAAGCCCCGGCUAACUACGUGCCAGCAGCCGCGGUAAUACGUAGGGGGCAAGCGUUAUCCGGAUUUACUGGGUGUAAAGGGAGCGUAGACGGCGAUGCAAGUCUGGAGUGAAAGGCGGGGGCCCAACCCCCGGACUGCUUUGGAAACUGUAUGGCUGGAGUGCAGGAGAGGUAAGUGGAAUUCCUAGUGUAGCGGUGAAAUGCGUAGAUAUUAGGAGGAACACCAGUGGCGAAGGCGGCUUACUGGACUGUAACUGACGUUGAGGCUCGAAAGCGUGGGGAGCAAACAGGAUUAGAUACCCGGGUAGUC